UGGGGAAUCUUGCGCAAUGGGCGAAAGCCUGACGCAGCCACGCCGCGUGAGGGAUGAAGGCUUUCGGGUUGUAAACCUCUUUCAGCAGGGACGAAAAUGACGGUACCUGCAGAAGAAGCUCCGGCCAACUACGUGCCAGCAGCCGCGGUAACACGUAGGGAGCAAGCGUUGUCCGGAUUUAUUGGGCGUAAAGAGCUCGUAGGCGGUUCAGUCAGUCGGGUGUGAAAACUUGAGGCUCAACCUCAAGAGGCCACUCGAUACUGCUGUGACUAGAGUCCGGUAGAGGAGUGUGGAAUUCCUGGUGUAGCGGUGAAAUGCGCAGAUAUCAGGAGGAACACCGACAGCGAAGGCAGCACUCUGGGCCGGUACUGACGCUGAGGAGCGAAAGCAUGGGGAGCAAACAGG
rnacentral:rRNA from 1 species